rnacentral:rRNA from 1 species
CCCUUAGAUGUUCUGGGCCGCACGCGUGCUACACUGAGUGGAUCAGCGGGUCAGGUUGCGCGAAAGCGUUUCCUAAUCUUUAAAUCCGCUCGUGAUGGGGAUUGACGGUGGCAAUUUUCUGUCAUGAACGAGGAAUACCUUGUAAGCGCGGGUCAUCAUCCCGCGCUGAAUACGUCCCUGCCCUUUGUACACACCGCCCGUCGCUCCUACCGAUUGAGUGGUCCGGUGAGGCUUUGGGAUCUGAGCGGAAAGAGCGUUUCGCUGUUUCUGCUCGGAAAACUCAGUCGAACCUUAUCAUUUAGAGGAAGGAGAAGUCGUAACA